GCAGGAGUGGCGGAAUUGGUAGACGCGCUGGACUCAAAAUCCAGUGGGCAUUAAAACCCGUGAGAGUUCGAGUCUCUCCUUCUGCACCA
rnacentral:tRNA from 1 species